CGGGCAGCAGUGGUGGAUUCUGACGUAGACUGAGCUCGAAAUGUGCUUGCUUCCUCUCCAAAACUGAGGCCCAUUUGCACAACAAGCAAAAAGGACAAGGUCAGCGGUCUCCAGUCCCGAGGUCAUCGCUCAUCAAGAGGGGAUAAUCCCAAGGACAGCAGGACCUACUUCAUCCCUUGGAUUUAGGAGGGAGAAACCCCUCAGGCCACAAACAGUAACAAUGACCCACCAUUAAACACACCGAGAGAAGAGCGUGAUGAGGAAUUUGUACAAGAAAAGUCCAGGAGUUCUCGCUGGCAAUGUCUGAUCACAGUGAGCUCUGCCCAUUGAACUGCAAUAAAAACUCUCCCCCUCCCCAGAGCUGUGUGGAUGUGGACACAGUUCAGGCAAUGGGCUAUGCCUGGAUGCAACAGAGUGAAAAGAAUUUGGACGGUGGGGGUCAGAUAGACCUGGGCUUGAAUUGUUAUUCUACCACUUCUCUCUAGUAUGCUUUGACAACACUUAAAAAUCCCUGCUUCAUUUUUUCUUAUCUGCAAAAAAGUAGCUGAGACCUACACUGGGUCUUUUAAGAGGAUCAAAUACAACAGUGUUUGAAAAGCA